rnacentral:rRNA from 1 species
GGGGACGGAGCUACCAUGCAGUCGAGCGGUAACACAGGGAGCUUGCUCCCGGGUGACGAGCGGCGGACGGGUGAGUAAUGUCUGGGAAACUGCCUGAUGGAGGGGGAUAACUACUGGAAACGGUAGCUAAUACCGCAUAACGUCGCAAGACCAAAGAGGGGGACCUUCGGGCCUCUUGCCAUCAGAUGUGCCCAGAUGGGAUUAGCUAGUAGGUGGGGUAACGGCUCACCUAGGCGACGAUCCCUAGCUGGUCUGAGAGGAUGACCAGCCACACUGGAACUGAGACACGGUCCAGACUCCUACGGGAGGCAGCAGUGGGGAAUAUUGCACAAUGGGCGCAAGCCUGAUGCAGCCAUGCCGCGUGUAUGAAGAAGGCCUUCGGGUUGUAAAGUACUUUCAGCGGGGAGGAAGGUGUUGAGGUUAAUAACCUCAGCAAUUGACGUUACCCGCAGAAGAAGCACCGGCUAACUCCGUGCCACCGCG